AAAGGAGCAGGUAGGACGCCGUUGAACUGGGAAACAAGGGCUGGCAUUGCCCUUGGAGCUGCACACGGGAUAGCCUACCUUCAUGCACAAGGGCCCUCAGUAUCACAUGGCAACAUUAAGUCAUCCAAUAUCCUUCUCACCAAAUCAUACGAGGCCCGUGUUUCAGAUUUUGGCCUUGCUCAACUCGUUGGUCCAUCAUCAACUCCUAACCGUGUUGCAGGUUACAGGGCACCAGAGGUAACUGACCCUCGUAAAGUUUCCCAGAAAGCAGAUGUCUACAGCUUUGGCGUCUUGUUGUUGGAACUUCUAACAGGUAAGGCUCCCACACAUUCGGUUAUGAAUGAGGAAGGUGUCGACCUACCAAGAUGGGUGCAAUCAGUGGUACGAGAAGAAUGGACAGCUGAAGUCUUUGACCUCGAGCUCCUUAGGUACCAAAACGUCGAGGAGGACAUGGUCCAGCUAUUGCAAGUUGCAGUUGAUUGCACUGCUCAGUACCCGGACAGACGCCCUUCAAUGGCUGAGGUCACUAGUCGCGUUGAAGAACUCUGUCGUAUGGAUUCUGGAGGUGACAUA
rnacentral:misc_RNA from 1 species